UACGUAGGGGGCGAGCAUUGUCCGGAUUUAUUGGGCGUAAAGAGCUCGUAGGCGGCUUGGCAAGUCGGGUGUGAAACCUCCAGCUCAACCUGGAGACGCCACUCGAUACUGCCAUGGCUAGAGUCCGGUAGGGGACCACGGAAUUCCUGGUGUAGCGGUGAAAUGCGCAGAUAUCAGGAGGAACACCGGUGGCGAAGGCGGUGGUCUGGGCCGGCACUGACGCUGAGGAGCGAAAGCGUGGGUAGCAAACAGG
rnacentral:rRNA from 1 species